rnacentral:misc_RNA from 1 species
UUGAAAUCCUUAGGAUGUUGCUGGCCCCUUUGGGGGUAUGUGCACUCCGCCUUUUCAUCUCACCUGUGAACUCAUUGUAGGCCAGAUGUCACAGUCUGCGUCUAUGUUAUUUUUUACACACACACAAGUUUAUCAGAAUGUAUAAAUGUAAGACCUUUAUUGGUCAAAAUUUAAUA